AUGGGCAAAUGUUUGUUUAAUGACAAGUGGUUGGAGGACGAAAAGUAUCGGGGGUGGCUGAAGAAAACAGCCAGUAAUCAUGAAGCGAGGUGUGCUUUAUGUAAAAAGACGAUAAAGCUGGGGACAAUGGGCCACAUAGCGCUCGAUUCACACAUGAAAGCAGAGAAGCACAAGAAGUGUGUGUCGUCGCAAGCAAGUAGUUUGCCCAUAAGUAUGUUCUCAUCGAGCACUUCGACCUCUCAGCCUUCCACUUCAAGCAAUGCCUUCGGCAGCUUUGCGAAUGUAGCUACACUUAAGGCCGAAAUACUGUGGGUAUUUCAAACCGUAAGCCGCCACAACUCGUACACCUCAAAUGAGGACAUCCACCUAGUUUUUCAAGCAAUGUUCCCUGACUCAGAGUGUGCGAGUACGUUCACAUGUGGAAGGGAUAAAACCGCAUAUUUAGCACGAUUUGGUGUUGCCCCAUACAUAAAGAAGGAACUCAUUUCACGGGCAAACAAGGAUGCUUUCAUCAUAAUGUUCGAUGAGUCCAUGAACACAACAACGAAAACUAAACAGUUGGACUUGCACGUCAGAUGUUGGUCAACUGACGAGACCGGGACCCCGAUUGUCAGGUCUCGCUAUCUGGGUUCUCAGUUUUUGGGCCACUCAACGGCAGAAGACUUGCUGGAACAUUUUAAGGAGGGCACCAAGGAACUUAAUUUACGGAACUUGCUUUCUGUAUCAAUGGAUGGACCUGCAGUCAAUUGGAAAUUCAUGGAUCUCCUACAAUUGGAACAUGGAGAACAGUUUGGGGGGAUUCAACUCCAAGUGGUAGGAAGCUGUGGUAUCCACACCCUACACAAUUCAUUUAAAGGUGGAUUUGAGGUGUGGCAUGUAGAAAAGGUGCUGAGAUCUCUCCACUGUCUCUUCAAUAAUGCCCCAGCAAGAAGAGAGGAUUUCACAUCUGCAACACUGUCGUCCACAUUCCCCUUAUCCUUCUGUGGCCAUCGCUGGCUCGAAAAUGUGCCUGCUGCAGAGAGGGCCAUUGAAAUUUGGCCCUCUAUUGAGAAGUUUGUUGACCAAGUGUCAACAAAGAAGGUGAAGAACCCAGGAAAUGCAUCAUUCGACACCCUCUCUGAGGCAAGAAAGGAUCCUCUUAUCUGUGCCAAACUCCACUUCUUUGUGUUCAUAGCAAGAGUCUUUCAACCAUUUCUGGAAAAAUAUCAAAAAGAUGCUCCCAUGAUGCCCUUCCUGUGGAAUGACUUGGAGGAUUUGAUAAGGAGCCUUCUCAAACGAUUCAUCAAGCGUGAUGCUUUGCCCUCGAGUCCAUAUAAGCUGGUGAGGCUCGAUGUCACAGACCAGAAGCUUUGGCUUGGCACAAAAGAUGUUGACAUUGGCAUGGGUGCAGCAGCUGUUAUCAAGGUGGGUGUAUUCCGUUUCAUCAAAGUAGUUCAUAAUUACAUGUAGAUAUUAACAUUGACUUGUUUGUGUGUGUGGAGAGAGGCAUGUUCUGAAAAGGGGCGCCAUUAAGCUCAGUGUAUUAUGCUUAAUUAUUGCAGAUCAGACUAUGUAGAGGGACAGAAAUGUUGUAGAUUUGACAAACCAAUGUUUUUUUUUCUGUCAGGGACUGUCAGGGGCCAAGGGCAGAGUAAGCGAGCUUGGUGUGCUGCAGUUUAAAAAAGAAUGCCAGAAUGCACUUUCAAAAAUAUGCAAGAAGGCACUGGAUAAGUGCCCUCUAAAAUAUGCCACUGUCCAUAACAUGAUGUGCCUGGAGUCCUGGACCCAAGAAAAAUGUAUUCCAGCCCUGACGAAUGCCUACAGAAACUGAAACGUCUCAUUGAGAAGUUUGUGUUGGACAAACAGUUGACAGGCGGGAUAUCUUCUGGUAAAUUAUAGGAAUAAGAAUAGAAUGGCACUCACUGUUUACACACUUCCUCCCAUUUAUAUCAGUCAAGACCAACACCUAUAACAUUACCUGUAACAUAAAAUUCAACAUGUAUUCCCAUUUCUGUGUACAUAUUUGAUACUAUUCACUGACUUCAAAUGAUCAGGUAAAGGUAAAGUUACAUAGUAUACUAUUUAAACAGGCCAUUCCAUACAAAAAAAAAACACUAAAAUUGUUUUUUUGAUUUUUUUUUGCGUGUUUUUUUUUUUUUAGUUUAGUUUAGUGCAGGUUGACAUGACUUGAGUGCAAACCUAUGAGGUACAGAACCCAGGCAUUUUUCUUUGUAAAAAUAUUAUUCAUGAAAGGGAUUAACAGAAAAUGUAUGGAAUCAGUGUGGAUUGGUCUCUUUAAAAGAACGCAGCUUUGCCUUUUAUGUUGCGAUGCUAAUUUUUUAUUCACACUGGCUCUCCUUUGUGCAUUAUUACAGGUGAUGUGAUUUCUCAACAGUUUGAGAAGGCCCUUUCCAAUGAAGCCAAAUCGCUGGAAUUUGCAAACUUCCAGCCCUCAGUGUCCAGGGUUGAUACAUUCCUGUCUCAGAAUCUCAGUUCCUACACUGAUCUGUGGAACUUCUGCAAGAAGUUACUACUCCUCUCACAUGGACAAGCUGAAGUGGAGCGGGGCUUCUCCAUCAACAAAGAAGUGGAGACGUGCAACAUGUCUGAGGAGACAGUAGUUAUUCAAAGGCUCAUCUGUGAUCAAGUGAAAGUUUGUGGGGGGGUGACAAAAGUGCCUCUUACAAAAGAGCUAAUCAGUUACUGUGCAUCAGCACGGAGCCGUUACCGGGCACAUUUGGAAGAGGAAAAAAAGAAGAGAGAGACCGAAGAAAACUCCAAGAAAAGAAAGUAUGUCGAAGAGGACCUGAAAGAGCUAAAGCAAAAGAAAAAAUCAAUUCGAGAAAUUUGCAUAUCUUUGGAGAAUGAUGCAGAUAGAAUGGCAGAGCAAGCCGAAAGUUCAGGUGGUAGUAAAAUGGCCACAUUGAUCACAGAAUCCAAUUCUUUGAGGAGACGAGCUAAAGAUAAACAUAAAGAACUAAUUGAGUUGGAUGCAGAAAUUGAAAACAAGAUUGUAGAAUUGACAAAACUGUCAUGAGGGCUUUGAGUUUGAGAACUUAAAAGUUGAAGGUUUACAUGUACCUUUAGUUAUUUAUUUGGAUUAUUUGCUGAAUGUUACUGUCUGGGCCUAUAAAAUCAGUUCCGUUUUUGUUUGAUCAGCACUGUGGUUUUAUAGGGAAGUCCGAAGAUUUUUCUCUAUUAUUUGACAUCCCAUGUAAGCAUGACUGUUUUCAUGCUAUUCUGUUUGUAUACUGUUAUACAUGCAUAUCUUUGGAUUGCCAGAUUGGCAUUAAUCCCAUUGUUGACCAAGUUUGAUGUCUUCACAGCGCUAAAAGAAGUAGCUGAACAAAGCACUUUUAAAUAAAUUUCUGAUCCUGAUCUUUCCUACAUUUUUCUGACUGGAUCUUCAUUCAUUAGGUCUAUGCAUAGAUUAUUGAAUGUGCUUGCAUUUAUCUGUGUCUGAAAUGAUACAAAACACUAAUCAGACCCUGAACAACAUUUUCUUGGGGGAGAACCCCCAAACCCAGCUCAAGGCUAUUUGGCAGCCACAUUUACCCAUAAUUUAGAUCAAGUAUGACGAAUACUUUAACUUUUGUGUAUUUGUGGGCUUUUAUAAUGUACUGGGGCUGUCUUCCAUGUCAUUUUCAGACUGCUAUGAGGGGCCAGAAUUAAGAAAUUACCUGAAGUACCUUAAAGGCUGAUAGUUUAUACAUAGUCAACAAUGUAAGGGUUGUAAGGUCAAUCAGCACUUGGUAUAAACGUUUUCGCGUCCCUUUGACCUUUCUUGAGUGUGACUCUGUUGAGCUGUGCCACGCUAAUGCUUCGUGGUAAAGUCUUAAAUUUUCCUUUUAGAGGACUUAAAAAGGUCUUAAAAGUUAUUAAAUUUGCUGUAAAAAAAUGUGCAGAGACCCUGUCUAUCUGCUGAAGGUGAACCAAAAACAACUGAUAGCAGCUCUCAGUGAUAUGUGUCGGGUCCCCGCUAUAAUAGCAGCAACAUUCACAAUUGCUUACAGAACAAGCGGGAACCCAGUGUGCCUGUAGCUUUCUCUAUUUCAGUUUUAUCACGUGAUAGAAAGUCUAAGGGCUUCUCAAGCCGAAGGGCAAACUCAUCUAAUCUGCGGCCUAUUAUGCAUCAAAUUAAGAUUGAUAUGAAGACACCAAGCACUGCCAUCAAGUUAGCACUUUU
ensembl:lncRNA